GCCGUCAUAGCUCAGCUGGUAGAGCACAUCCAUGGUAAGGAUGGGGUCGCAGGUUCAAGUCCUGUUGUCGGCA
rnacentral:tRNA from 1 species